rfam:Picea glauca, whole genome shotgun sequence.
GGGUGUUAUCAUACCAGCGUUAAUGCACCGGAUCCCAUCAGAACUCUGCAGUUAAGCACGUUUGGGCUAGAGUAGUACUGGGAUGGGUGACCUCCCAGGAAGUCCUAGUGUUGCACCCU